AGUGAACGCUGGCGGUAGGCCUAACACAUGCCAGUCGAACGGCAGCACAGUAAGAGCUUGCUCUUACGGGUGGCGAGUGGCGGACGGGUGAGGAAUACAUCGGACUCUACUUUUUCGUGGGGGAUAACGUAGGGAAACUUACGCUAAUACCGCAUACGCCCUACGGGUGAAAGCAGGGGAUCUUCGGACCUUGCGCGAUUGAAUGAGCCGAUGUCGGAUUAGCUAGUUGGCGGGGUAAAGGCCCACCAAGGCGACGAUCCGUAGCUGGUGUGAGAGGAUGAUCGGCCACACUAGAACUGGGACACGGUCCAGACUCCUACGGGAGGCAGCAGUGGGGAAUAUUGGACAGUGGGCGCAAGCCUGAUCCAGCCAUACCGCGUGGGUGAAGAAGGCCUUCGGGUUGUAAAGCCCUUUUGUUGGGAAAGAAAAGCAGCAGGUUAAUACCCCGCUGUUCUGACGGUACCCAAAGAAUAAGCACCGGCUAACUUCGUG
rnacentral:rRNA from 1 species